rnacentral:rRNA from 1 species
AUUGAACGCUGGCGGCAGGCUUAACACAUGCAAGUCGAACGAGUGGCGGACGGGUGAGUAAUGCUUGGGAAUCUAGCUUAUGGAGGGGGAUAACUACGGGAAACUGUAGCUAAUACCGCGUACCAUAGGAUGAGCCCAAGUGGGAUUAGCUAGUAGGUGGGGUAAUGGCUCACCUAGGCGACGAUCCCUAGCUGGUCUGAGAGGAUGACCAGCCACACUGGAACUGAGACACGGUCCAGACUCCUACGGGAGGCAGCAGUGGGGAAUAUUGCACAAUGGGCGCAAGCCUGAUGCAGCCAUGCCGCGUGUGUGAAGAAGGCCUUCGGGUUGUAAAGCACUUUCAGCGAGGAGGCGUUACUCGCAGAAGAAGCACCGGCUAACUCCGUGCCAGCAGCCGCGGUAAUUC